CCCGACUGCUAUCGGAUUAAGACUAAGCCAUGCGAGUCUAACGCCUCAGCGGUGAGGCGUGGCAUACGGCUCAGUAACACGUGGUCAACCUACCCUAGGGACGGUGACAACAUCGGGAAACUGAUGCUAAUCACCGAUAGGAAAUGGACUCUGGAACGACCCAUUUUCCAAAGGCUUAGGAGACUAUGCUUUCCUAUACGCCAUAGGAUGGGACUGCGACCGAUCAGGUUGAUGGCGAGGUAACUGCUCACCAUGCCUAUAACCGGUACGGGCCCUAAGAGGGGGAGCCCGGAGAUGGACCCUGAGACAAGGAUCCAGGCCCUACGGGGCGCAGCAGGCGCGAAACUUCCGCUAUGUGCGAAAGCACGACGGAGUUAAUCCGAGUGUCAGCCGAUGAGGCCGACUUUUCCUCGGUCCAAAAGGCCGGGGGAAUAAGAGGGGGGCAAGAUUGGUGUCAGCCGCCGCGGUAAUACCAACUCCUCGAGUAGCCGGGAUGAUUACUGGGCUUAAAGCGUCCGUAGCCAGUCCGAUAAGUUCUUCGUUAAAUCCGACGUCCCAAGCGUUGGGCCGCGGAGAAUACUGCCGGACUUGGGAGUGGAAGAGGCUGGCGGUACUUCCUGGGGAGGGGUAAAAUCCAUAGAUCCAGGGAAGACCAUCAGUGGCGAAGGCGGCCAGCUAGGACACGUCCGACGGUGAGGGACGAAAGCUGGGGGAGCGAUCCGGAUUAGAUACCCGGGUAGUCCCAGCUGUAAACGAUGCAGGCUAGGUGUGUGGGUGACUACGAGUCGCCCGUGUGCCGUAGAGAAAUCGAUAAGCCUGCCGCCUGGGAAGUACGUCCGCAAGGAUGAAACUUAAAGGAAUUGGCGGGGGAGCACCACAAGGGGUGAAUCCUGCGGUUU
rnacentral:rRNA from 1 species